ACCGUGGCUUUAGAUUGUUACUGUUGCCAUGGCGAUCUCCAGUAACAGUCUACAGCCAUGGUUG
rnacentral:pre_miRNA from 1 species